CUACGGGGGGCUGCAGUGGGGAAUAUUGGACAAUGGGGGAAACCCUGAUCCAGCAAUGCCGCGUGUGUGAAGAAGGCCUGCGGGUUGUAAAGCACUUUCGGUUGGGAGGACUGCUUCUAGCACUAAUAUUGUUGGAAGUUGACGUUACCUUCAGAAGAAGCACUGGCUAACUCCGUGCCAGCAGCCGCGGUAAUACGGAGGGGGCAAGCGUUAAUCGGAAUUACUGGGCGUAAAGCGCGCGUAGGCGGCUAGAUCAGUCGGGUGUGAAAGCCCCGGGCUUAACCUGGGAACUGCAUCCGAUACUGUCUAGCUUGAGUACAGGAGAGGAGAGUGGAAUUCCACAUGUAGCGGUGAAAUGCGUAGAUAUGUGGAGGAACACCAAUGGCGAAGGCAGCUCUCUGGCCUGAUACUGACGCUGAGGUGCGAAAGCGUGGGGAGCAAACAGGAUUAGAUACCCCAGUAGUC
rnacentral:rRNA from 1 species